GCCUCUAGCCUCAUCUGUCUUUACAACUUCUUGAAAAUGGCCACUUGGAAAGAUAAAGAAGAACACAGGACCACUGGGUACACACACUUUGGGAAGCAGGGGCCAGCAUCUGGAUCGCUGCACACAGAUUUCAGGAUACCCUCAGCAGAACAAAAAAGCUUCCAACACCUUCCUUCUAAGAUACUAAUAAGGGAAAGAUGUAAAGGCUGGAAAUAUUGAUUUGAGCAAAUUCUCCCACACCAACCAAC